UCUCCGCUUGCGCGGGCAGUUCCUCUAGAGUCCCCAGCAUUACCUGUUGGCAACUAGAAGUAGGGGUUGCGCUCGUUGCGGGACUUAACCCAACACCUCACGGCACGAGCUGACGACGGCCAUGCAGCACCUAGUUUCGCGCCCUUGCGGGAAGCUCCCUUUCAGGAGCGGUCGCUAACUUUCAAGCCCUGGUAAGGUUCCUCGCGUACCAUCGAAUUAAACCACAUGCUCCUCCGCUUGUGCGGGCCCCCGUCAAUUCCUUUGAGUUUCACCGUUGCCGGCGUACUCCCCAGGUGGAUUACUUAACGCUUUCGCUUAGCCGCGUACUGUAUAUCGCACACAGCGAGUAAUCAUAGUUUACGGUGCGGACUAC
rnacentral:misc_RNA from 1 species